rnacentral:rRNA from 1 species
AGGACGAACGCUGGCGGCGUGCUUAACACAUGCAAGUCGAGCGGAAAGGCCAUUUCGGUGGUACUCGAGCGGCGAACGGGUGAGUAACACGUGAGUAAUCUGCCCCCUGGCUUUGGGAUAGCCACCGGAAACGGUGAUUAAAUACCGGAUAUGACCCGCCCUCGCAUGGGGGUGUGUGGAAAGUUUUUCGGCCAGGGAUGUGCUCGCGGCCUAUCAGCUUGAUGGUGGGGUAAUGGCUCACCAUGGCUUCGGACGGUAGCCGGCCUGAGAGGGUGACCGGUCACACGUGGGACUGAGACCACGGCCCAGACUCCGUACGGGAGCAGCAGGUGGGAAUGUU